rnacentral:rRNA from 1 species
UGGGGAAUAUUGGACAAUGGGCGCAAGCCUGAUCCAGCCAUGCCGCGUGAGUGAUGAAGGCCCUAGGGUUGUAAAGCUCUUUCACCGGUGAAGAUAAUGACGGUAACCGGAGAAGAAGCCCCGGCUAACUUCGUGCCAGCAGCCGCGGUAAUACGAAGGGGGCUAGCGUUGUUCGGAUUUACUGGGCGUAAAGCGCACGUAGGCGGACUUUUAAGUCAGGGGUGAAAGCCCGGGGCUCAACCCCGGAACUGCCUUUGAUACUGGAAGUCUUGAGUAUGGUAGAGGUGAGUGGAAUUCCGAGUGUAGAGGUGAAAUUCGUAGAUAUUCGGGGGAACACCAGUGGCGAAGGCGGCUCACUGGACCAUUACUGCCGCUGAGGUGCGAAAGCGUGGGGAGCAAACAGG